rnacentral:rRNA from 1 species
AUGUGGUUUAAUUCGAUGCUACGCGAAGAACCUUACCCGGGUUUGACAUACAGGUGGUAGGGAACUGAAAGGGACCGACCCUUCGGGAGCCUGAACAGGUGCUGCAUGGCUGUCGUCAGCUCGUGUCGUGAGAUGUCCGGUUAAGUCCGGUAACGAGCGCAACCCUUGCUGUAUGUUACAAGUGUCAUACGGGACUGCCGGUAUCAAGCCGGAGGAAGGUGGGAUGACGUCAAGUCAGCAUGGCCUUUAUAUCCGGGGCUACACACACGCUACAAUGGUCAGUACAAUAGGUUGCAAAGCCGCGAGGUGGAGCCAAUCCCAAAAGCUGGCCUCAGUUCAGAUUGCAGGCUGCAACCCGCCUGCAUGAAGUUGGAGUUGCUAGUAACCGCGCGUCAGCCAUAGUGCGGUGAAUACGUUCCCGGGCCUU